rnacentral:rRNA from 1 species
GACGAACGCUGGCGGCGUGCCUAAUACAUGCAAGUCGAACGCAGUGGGGACGGGUGAGUAACACGUGGGUAACCUCUCAUCAGAGGGGAUAACACUUGGAAACAGGUGCUAAACCGAUACUGAUGGAUGGACCCGCGGGGCAUUAGCUAGAUGGUGAGGUAACGGCUCACCAAGGCGACGAUGCAUAGCGGGCCUGAGAGGAUGAUCGGCCACACUGGGACUGAGACACGGCCCAGACGCCUACGGGAGGCAGCAGUAGGGAAUAUUGGGCAAUGGGCGGAAGUCUGACCGAGCAACGCCGCGUGAGUGAAGAAGGCCUUCGGGUUGUAAGACUUUCAGCGAGGAGGAACGUUACUCGCAGAAGAAGCACCGGCUAACUCCGUGCCAGCCGCCGCGGUAAUAC